AAUGAACGCUGGCGGCAUGCCUAACACAUGCAAGUCGAACGAGAUCUUCGGAUCUAGUGGCGCACGGGUGAGUAACGCGUGGGAACCUACCUUUUAGUACGGGACAACGUUUGGAAACGAACGCUAAUACCGUAUACGCCCUCCGGGGGAAAGGUCAGCCGCUAAAAGAGGGGCCCGCGUCUGAUUAGCUUGUUGGCAAGGUAAUGGCUUACCAAGGCUACGAUCAGUAGCUGGUCUGAGAGGAUGAUCACCCACACUGGGACUGAGACACGGCCCAGACUCCUACGGGAGGCAGCAGUGGGGAAUAUUGGACAAUGGAGGCAACUCUGAUCCAGCAAUGCCGCGUGUGUGAUGAAGGCCCUAGGGUUGUAAAGCACUUUCAACGGUGAAGAUGAUGACGGUAGCCGUAGAAGAAGCCCCGGCUAACUUCGUGCCAGCAGCCGCGGUAAUACGAAGGGGGCGAGCGUUAUUCGGAAUUAUUGGGCGUAAAGGGCUCGCAGGCUGCUUGAACAGUUAGACGUGAAAUCCCCGGGCUCAACCUGGGAACUGCGUUUAAUACUAGCAAGCUAGAGAAAUAGA
rnacentral:rRNA from 1 species